GGGGGUGAUCCGGUUUCGACGGGAUGUGUUGAGGUCGGGUUGCGCGUCGUGGAUCCUCGUUGGCCACGUAAAAAACGAGGGAAAAAAGUAAUUGCGAACAACGAUUACCGUCUCGCCGCCUAAAUAACGGCCGCGAUGUCGAAGCGCCGAUGUCUGCUGAGCGCCUAGGCAUAAUUUAGCAGGCCGCGCUGCAGGGGAUUCCACUUGUCCGCUGCAGGGUGUCGAAUCGAGUGGUUGGCUGGGGAUAAGCCCGUGCGUCGGCGUGCCCCUCCCGAGAUUAAUGGCGCAAUACACGCGUAGAUGCUCGGGUGAUGCCGUUCCGGACGGGGGUUCGACUCCCCCCACCUCCAAAA
rnacentral:tmRNA from 1 species